CCGGCGAGGGGAGUGAAAAAGAACCUGAAACCGUGUACGUACAAGCAGUGGGAGCCCCACCACUAAGCCAGUGGUGAACUCCACAUACGCAUCCUUUGCUGAGGAUACGGUUAACGGAGCGAAAGCGACGUUCAACCGCAAAAGAAGCAGAGGGGGCUUAGUGGUGGGGUGACUGCGUACCUUUUGUAUAAUGGGUCAGCGACUUAUAUUCUGUAGCAAGGUUAACCGUAUAGGGGAGCCGUAGGGAAACCGAGUCUUAACCGGGCGUUAAGUUGCAGGGUAUAGACCCGAAACCCGGUGAUCUAGCCAUGGGCAGGUUGAAGGUUGGGUAACACUAACUGGAGGACCGAACCGACUAAUGUUGAAAAAUUAGCGGAUGACCUGUGGCUGGGGGUGAAAGGCCAAUCAAACCGGGAGAUAGCUGGUUCUCCCCGAAAGCUAUUUAGGUAGCGCCUCGUGAAUUCAUCUCCGGGGGUAGAGCACUGUUUCGGCUAGGGGGCCAUCCCGGCUUACCAACCCGAUGCAAACUGCGAAUACCGGAGAAUGUUAUCACGGGAGACACACGGCGGGUGCUAACGUCCGUCGUGAAGAGGGAAACAACCCAGACCGCCAGCUAAGGUCCCAAAGUCAUGGUUAAGUGGGAAACGAUGUGGGAAGGCCCAGACAGCCAGGAUGUUGGCUUAGAAGCAGCCAUCAUUUAAAGAAAGCGUAAUAGCUCACUGGUCGAGUCGGCCUGCGCGGAAGAUGUAACGGGGCUAAACCAUGCACCGAAGCUGCGGCAGCGACGCUGAUGCGUUGUUGGGUAGGGGAGCGUUCUGUAAGCCUGCGAAGGUGACCUGUGAGGGUUGCUGGAGGUAUCAGAAGUGCGAAUGCUGACAUAAGUAACGAUAAAGCGGGUGAA
rnacentral:rRNA from 1 species